rnacentral:lncRNA from 1 species
GAAGAACAAGUAAGUUCUAAUUUUAUAAUUAUGCGCUAUCUAAUGUAUUUAGAUUAAUGUGUUUCUUCAUAUGUAAAGGUUACAAGAACGGUAAAUUAUUUUCCAGAUGAUAUAAAAUGUUGUGAAAUGGGUUUUUUAUAGGAAAAUUACCAGUUAUUUUCAUUUAUAGGUAUAAAAAUUGACCAAUUGAUAAAAUAUUACUAAUAUUAGCCAAAUUAGCCAAUUAGCUAUUUUUAGCAAAAUAGUAUCAAAUUUUUGUUUUGUUUGAGUAGGUGUUAUUAGAAUAGAUUGGGCACAACUUAGGGAGCUUGAAUCUCGGUUUUGGAAUGAUUUGGGGAAGUUUUGAGGUGGUUUGAAUUGAAAAUUCGGUAAAAACUUAUGAACAUGAAAAAAAAUAAAAUGUGUAUCACACUGUGUAUUAUUUGUGUAUCACAUAUGUAUCAUAUUUGUAUCUGUUUUGUAUCACGUGUAUACCUGUGUGUGAGAUACAUGCAUGAUACAUGUGUCGCAGAAGACUUUUUUUAACUCGAUUUAAUUACGAAUUUGAUACAAAACCAGUCUAAAUCACCUCCAAUCUUCCUCAAAUUUUGUAUAUUGACUUAUCUAUAUAUUUUCAGUGAAUUUCAAUUAUACCCAUUAAAAAAGUUCCUUUUGUUUAGAUUUUUAGAAUAUUUUAUAUAUUAUUGUAUUUCAUCUCCUUAUUUCUACAUCAUCUAUAAAAUUUCCUUUCCAUCUUGUAUCUAAUGUUGCUAAUCACGCUUUAAAAUAUGGAAGGUGAUUUUUGCAUGUGAUUCUUUGAGAGAAAGAACCCUAUUAUUUGAUUUUUUAAUUUUUAUUGGCUAGUUUAGGUAAGUCUAUGAUUAAUGGCUAGAUGGUAAGUUGAGAUUUAUUUAGGACAUUAUUGUAUGUUUCCUUUUUAAAAAAUAGUAAUCCUAUUCGUAAUUAACCAACCAAUUUAUAUUUAUCUGUUACAAUAAUUUAUUGCAUUUAUUUUACGUUACAUAAUUAAUUCGUAACUGAUAGCAUAAUAAUGGUAAAUCUAGUAUAACUCGGGAUUAAUUGAUUCUCUCGUCACUCAUAAUUAUGGGUGAUUCUUCAUACCCGGCCGGUGUUAUUCUCUUAUGAUCACUUGGGGACUAAUGGUUACGUUACUAAUUAAUAUGUUUAGCUCCGAGUGCAUUUUACACUUUAUUCUUCACUUCCUUCGUAGUUUUGCUUACGCAUAUUAUCAUUUAAUUGAUCCACGAGUUUAUUUUCUACUAAUACAAAAAAUUUGUUGAGAGUAGAGAUUAAAGUUAUAACAGGAUGAGUUGUACUAACGUAUUAGAAGUGUAUGAAUCUGGAUGUCAGUUUGUGAAGAAAAGAGUGUGGACUUAUGGCAAAGAUGUGAAUCGAUCAAUCAAAUACGUCUCAACUUCAUAUUAAGUGGGACUGUUUACAUAUAUGUUUAAUAUAACUUUUUGUCCAUUUAAUUAGUUUCAACAAUAUUAAUAAAAAUUCGUGCAAAUGAAAGGUUUUAGUACUUACUAUAAGAUAUUGCAUUUUCAUGUUGGUUUUAUGUUACAUUUUGUGGGCUAGUGAAAUUGCACAACACCAUAUACAUAUAAAACAUCAGUUCGGUACUCUAAGUUCUCGAUAGUCGUGCGCAAAAUUUAAAGAAGGACCAAACUAUAUUAGCAAACUCUUGCUUUCAUGGCUUGAAUCUAUGGGGCUCUCGGUCGUAUCAUGAUAAUCUUUACCAUUGUACUAGAGACAGAGCUCCCCUUUACCAUUUAUACAUCUAUAUAAAAUAAAAUAUCUCUAUAACAGUCUUAUUUGUUUCAAAUAUUUUUAAAUAUUAUAACAAGUGUUGUUAUAUAGAACAUAUAUUAUAACAUUAAAUGAAAAUUGGUUCCAGAAAAACUUAAUUUUUAUAGUGAAGUGUUGUUAUAUAGAAAUAAUGUUACAAAGAGAUCUGACCGUUUGACAUAUACUUCGAGUCUAGUUUCCUUUCACACUAUAAUCCCCUCUAAUGUACAUGACACUAAGCGUGUAAAGUAGAAAAGGUAUGGUCUUUGAUGCUUCUUCAAUAUUAUUGAGUGUAUUGGGUUUUUAUAAAGAGUUUAGCUUCUAUUCAAUGGCAACCACGAAAAGGUAAUUUUGUACGCUAUUAGAUUACUACGGUAGAAAAUAAUUAUAGGUAAACCUAUAUAAUAAUAAUUAAAAAAAACAGUACCGUUGCACUAAUUAAGCCGACCCCGCUUUGGGCGGAGUCAUUAAUUAUAGCAAUCUCGAAAUAUUACUGCGAUAAGCUAAAAUAUAAUGAUGAUCAUGAAAAUUUCAUACAUUGUUAGUGUGUGUAUAUAUAUAUAUAACUUAAUAAAUUCUUCAUCAAAUUAAAAUUAUUAUAUUGCUUUUGAAUGUUUAAUUUUGAAGGAGGAUGAUGGGGAAGGAACUUGAAGGCAUGAAGUUCAAAGAGUUGCAGAAGUUAGGGCAUCAGCUAAUUAACUGAAGGCCUUUUAACUGUUAAGAAUAAGAAGAUUAAUCGAUCUGCGUCAUUAGCCAGUUAUUAUGUUUAAUUAUCGUUAAUUACAUCGUCGAUCGUUAAAAUGGAGAGUGGGAAAAAGAAAAGGUGGAGUGUUUAAUUAAGCUUUUCGUCAUGUACUAUAUUUGAGGAACAAGUACUACUGGAGCUACUUGAAAAAUCAAGGCUGCAUGUAAACUUAUAUUUAAGAAUAAGAAGAUGGUAAGCGACCUCCAUUUCCAACCGAGAGGUUGUGAGUUCGAGUCUCCCCGAAGAGCAAGGUGGGAAGUUCUUGGAGGGAAGUAUGCCGGGGGUCUAUUUGGAAACAGCCUCUC